rnacentral:sRNA from 1 species
AUUCUGGAUCUCUGUUCUCUUCUCUUUGCAUCUAUGUCCUAUCUCCUGGGUUUCUGUCCCCGCCUCUCUCUGGGACUCUGUCUGCUUCCUUCUCCAGGCUUCCAUCUCCUCCCUCUCUGGGUCUCUGUCCCCCUAUUUCUGGGUCUCUCCCCCUCUCUCUGGUCUCUGUCUCCCUCUCUCUGGGUCUCCGUCAUCCUCUGUCUCUGACCCUCUCUCUGGGUCUCUGUCUCCCUCUCUAUCUGGGUGUCUGUUCCUCUCUCUCUGGGUCUCUGUCUCCCUUUCUCUCUGGAUCUCUGUCCCCCUCUUUCUGGGUCUCUGUCCCGCUAUGUCUCUGGGUCUCUGUCCCCCUCUGUCUCUGGGUCUCUGCUCCCCUGUUACUCUCUCUCCCUCUCUCUGGGUCUCUGUCUCCUCUUCUCUAGAUCUCUGUCCCUCUUUCACUGGAUUUCUCUCCCUUCUUCUGUCUGUGACCCCCUCUCUCUGGGCCUCUGUACAACUCCCCCCAUCUCUGUCGCCCUCUUUUUGGGUCUUUCUCCACCUGUCUGAAGGCACUUCUCUCUUUCUGCAGCCUCUCCCUGGGUUUGAGGCAGCCCUCCAAAUACCCUCUUCGUCAUCACAGACUUGAUUCUGCAUCCAGAACGGGCGGGGGCGAGAGUCACGCUGGGGAAUGAGCCAAUCCCCCUACCAGGGCCAUCUGUCCCCUGCCAGGACACCAACCGCCACUCCCCCUCCCUACCCCUAGGCUGACAGCCUGGACUCAAGUUUCCCUAGGGAUGCCUGGGACGGGCUGCUGGAUUCCCAGGGUCCUGGACAUCUCCCCACCCCCUAGCAAACGUGGCUGAGAAGCAUCUGUUCUUUUGACACCUUUGCUGAAGCAUCUCCUUAGCACCUUUUGCUUCCUCGAAUAGACUCUUAUCCGGGAGAGGCGGCUGGAGAGUCUUUGGGCCUCAGACUCGGGGCACAGGCUCUUGAGUCCCAAAGGGUUGUUUGGGAUCUAAAUCUCCUGAGUUGAAGGAUUUGACAGAGCUGGGAGAAGGGGACUGAAGACCCUCAAUGUGAAGAAGAAGGGGGCUGGGGGCCUGAAUUCCCGGUCUGAGGGAGAUGGAGGAUUUCUGGAUCACGGGGGGCGAAGGGAGCCAGGGACCUGGACUCUUGGUGAAGAAGGAGGUGCAGGCUUAGAAUUCUGGAUCUUGAAAAGCAGGUUUUGCCCUGGAUCCUGGUCUUGGGGGUGAGGGGGCUGGGGGCCUGGACUUCCGAGUCUCUGGCUCUUGCUGUCCCGCAGCCUUCUGGAGAAGCGGCAGGAAGGCGCGGAGACGCUGGAGCUGAGUGCCGAUGGGCGCCCGGUGACCACGCAGACCCGGGACCCGCCGGUGGUGGACUGCACCUGCUUCGGCCUCCCUCGCCGCUACAUUAUCGCCAUCAUGAGUGGUCUGGGCUUCUGCAUCAGCUUUGGCAUCCGCUGCAACCUGGGCGUGGCCAUCGUCUCCAUGGUCAAUAACAGCACGACCCACCGCGGGGGCCACGUGGUGGUGCAGAAAGCCCAGUUCAGCUGGGAUCCAGAGACUGUCGGCCUCAUACAUGGCUCCUUUUUCUGGGGAUACAUUGUCACUCAGAUUCCGGGAGGAUUUAUCUGCCAAAAAUUUGCAGCCAACAGGGUUUUCGGCUUUGCUAUUGUGGCAACAUCCACUCUAAACAUGCUGAUCCCCUCAGCUGCCCGCGUCCACUAUGGCUGUGUCAUCUUCGUGAGGAUCCUGCAGGGGCUGGUAGAGGUAAAUCCCCUCCUGAUAUGACCCUGCCCUCGCUCGGACCCUGCCUCUUCUCAGUGACCUUGGUUUUCUCCUCUUUAGGGGGUCACAUACCCCGCCUGCCAUGGGAUCUGGAGCAAAUGGGCCCCACCCUUAGAACGGAGUCGCCUGGCGACGACAGCCUUUUGUGGUUCCUAUGCUGGGGCGGUGGUCGCGAUGCCCCUCGCCGGGGUCCUUGUGCAGUACUCGGGAUGGAGCUCUGUUUUCUACGUCUACGGCAGCUUCGGGAUCUUCUGGUACCUGUUCUGGCUGCUCGUCUCUUACGAGUCCCCCGCGCUGCACCCCAGCAUCUCGGAGGAGGAGCGCAAGUACAUCGAGGACGCCAUCGGAGAGAGCGCGAAACUCAUGAACCCCCUCACGGUCCGGGACCAAAUCUUCGGGGAAGGGGCGGGGAGAGAUAGCAAGCCACAAACCUGAACAGCGUGUACAUCAGGGAGGGUUCCUGCAGACUCUAGAGGAGACGGGACUGGAACGCAAAGAGAGGGGCUAGAACCUAGGAGGCGGGUUGCAACCCGCGGAGGACGGGAUUCUCAGGUGCUGGGGGCAGGGUUAGGUCGGGAGUUGAGCAGGAUUAGAACCACUGACAGGGCAUGGUUAAAGCCAGCAGACAAGGGAUUAGAAUGUGGGGGUUUUGCUUAGACCUUGGGUUGAGGCUGUAUUUUGGGGGCAUUUUUGCAUAAAAAGAGACUCCUAGGGCAGGCUCAGUGGCUUCCGCCUGCAAUCCCAACACUUGGGGGGUGGAGGCUGCAGGAUCAGUUGAGCCCAGGAGUUCCAGACCAGCCUGGGCAACAUGGCGAGAACCCGUCUCUACUCAAAAUACAAAAUAC